rnacentral:tRNA from 1 species
GGUUCCGUAGUGUAGCGGUUAUCACGUCUGCUUUACACGCAGAAGGCCCCCCGGUUCGAUCCCGGGCGGAACCA